GGAGGUCGCCCGCGCCGCCGCAAGUUCCUUCCAGGCGGGGAUAAGCGGCUGCGAGGUAACGUGCUACACAACACCGCCCCAAAACAUUUUCCCCUAUUGGAUGGCGACUUGGGCGCUCCAUCGACUGCUGGAUGGCACCAUGCGGUUGAGGCUGCGACACCCCCCCCCCCCCCAAAUGGCACCGUCGGCUGCCCCUCUGUCACCGACAUCCAUCCCAUCGCCGGAUCUAGGAGAGCUUCGCCCGAAUCCUCUUUUGAUUCUUGCGUGUCGGUGGUGGGUGGAGAGCAGCGAGGGUGGCAGGAUUCGGAGAGGAGGCUGCGGAUCUGGGGUCCGAUAGGUCGUUCUCCCUCCUCCCCUAAAGCGGUGGCGAAGAAUGUCAGUAAAUUGUCGUUGGCGUCGUGCGCGGCAGGAACACAAUGUAACCCGGUGGACUCGAAGAUGAUGAAAUGCAUCGUGCGGUGACAUGGGAAACAUUGUCGCUAGCGCCGGAGCGGCCAUGCUUGAUCCUGGGCUGCCCAUCCUGAUUCCUAAUGCUACCGCCACACAGUCCUGUUCUACGCUGGUUGGUUGGCGAGCCAGCCGCCUCCACUACAACAUUCGUCCAUCAAAGAUGGAUCCCGUGGAGAAGAGGAGGAUCUGCUGAUCUGAAUUUCUUUGAUGAUUUUUGUUGGAGUGUUUAUAUCCUUUGUAAUUUUUUUACUUUUGAGUUUAAGCAUGUAAUUUGUUUAUUGUAUAGUGUGUGUCUGAAUGUAACAGAACCCGUGUGUAAAAGAAAAUAUUGUUAAUAUCUGACCGGCAGUGAUUUAUUUACUC
rnacentral:lncRNA from 1 species